rnacentral:rRNA from 1 species
UACGGAGGGCGCGAGCGUUAAUCGGAAUUACUGGGCGUAAAGCGCGCGUAGGCUGUUGUGUAAGUUGGGGGUGAAAUCCCACGGCUCAACCGUGGAACAGCCCUUGAUACUGCGCGACUUGAAUCCGGGAGAGGGUGGCGGAAUUUCAGGUGUAGGAGUGAAAUCCGUAGAUAUCUGGAGGAACAUCAGUGGCGAAGGCGGCCACCUGGACCGGUAUUGACGCUGAGGCGCGAAAGCGUGGGGAGCAAACAGG